UUCUGCCAGCCACUGGUGAUAUGAGGAGUGGGAGGGUUGUUCUGUCACCAUAGAUUCUCGCCCACAGUGCAGCCAUCCCAAACAACCAGUGGGAGUCAGCAGUGGAGCAACAAUGAGGAGAACCCUCUUCUCUUCCUAUUCUGCUCAAACUCUACACGCACGGAGGAAAGUGUGUUGUGUUGUUGAGAGGUGGAGACUCUGUAAAACAAAGGGCUCAAGAUUGCUCAAGCACCAGUACAGUAAAGGGGAACAGACAAAAUUUUCUGUUGGACAUGGAUGAGUUUGUUCGUAACAGAUUAACUGAAUGGGGUCUCAGUGAGUGGAUACCAAGAUUUGAAGAUGAAGGUGUUGACAAAGAAAGUCUUUUCUGUCUUCGUGACUGUGUAAUUGAUAAGUUGAUCACAAAAGUGGGACCAGCGGAAAAAUUCAGGAUGAGACUCAAGUUGUUAAUGGAAGAACACAACACAACAAAUCAGGAAACAGCUGAUGUAUCUGCUCACGAUCAUGAAGAAGCAGGCGAUUGCAUUCAGGUUAUACCAUCCACCAGUGACACAAGUGAUAAAGGAAAAAGAAAGUUGGAUCCUCAGGGCGAGUCCAGCAAAUGGAAAUCACCAGCUAGAAAACGACCACAUGACGCUAUGCCGGGAUCAUUCACAGAUGAGUUCAUACUGUCUGAUGUGAAAACCAUAAUGACAUAUGUGGAGAAUAAACUAUGCAAUGAAGACAACACAAAGCUCAAUGCUUUCCUGAAGACUAAAAUCAGUGAUUUGAAGAUAGACAAGAGGGAGCUGGUCGGUGUCUUUGGUAAAACUGGGGCUGGAAAGAGCUCUUUGAUAAAUGCCGUCAUUGGAGAGAAGAAUCUUUUGCCCUCUGGAAGUGUCAGUGCAUGUACUACAGUCAUGAUUAAAGUGGAGGCGAACAUGCACAACCCAAAGUAUGAAGCAGAAAUUGAGUUCAUUACAAAAGAGGAGUGGAGAGAGGAGUUGUGGUACUUGUAUCAUACUCCUAGAGAAAAUGCAUGUCAGGAAAAGGAAAAUGACGAUGAUGACCAUGACACAGAUGAAAAGCUGUCAGCACUGUAUGGAGAAGAAUGGAGAGACGUAUCCCUUGAAAAUCUCAUGGACAGCAAAUACUUCAGAGACAUCAAAGAAUUUCUUGAUUCCAAGAAGAAGAUUUUGACAUGUGAAUCAGCUGAAGAGCUGUCUGAAAAAAUUGUCAAAUACACAAGAAGUGACUCGAAAGUGGGAGACGGUAAAAAAGUAACGAGGCAAUACUGGCCACUGGUGAAGUGUGUGACUGUCAGGGUGCCUAAUAAUGACUUCCUCCAGCAUGUCACACUUGUGGACCUUCCUGGAAGUGGAGACCGUAACAAGAGCAGAGAUAAAAUGUGGAAAGGGAUUGUUGGAAGUUGUUCUACUGUGUGGAUCGUGACCGACAUUAAUCGAGCAGCAGCAGAGAAAGAACCCUGGGAGAUCCUGGAAAAUGCCAGUAGCAUCAUGGGAAAUGGUGGCGAGUGUCAGCACAUUCACUUCAUCUGCACCAAGUCUGAUCUUAUUGAAGAUUGGUGUGAUCAUUCAGCAGAUGCAGUUACUGCGCUCAUAAUUAACAGAAACUCAGAAGCCAAGGAAACAGUGAUCAGAGAAUUCAGAAAACAAAGCCAGAUUAAGAAACACUUCAGUGAAGACUGUUUCACAGUGUUCACAGUGAGCUCCAAAGAGUUUCUGAAAGGAAAAUAUCUGACAUCAGAGGAUACAGAAAUACCCCAACUUCAGGAAUUUCUGCAAGAUCUCAAUGACUGUCACUCAGAGACAUUAAACUAUGUGUCUGGAGCUUACGGGAUUCUGUCUCUGAUUCAAGGGGCAAGAUGCAGAGAAGAGGCUGGCAUAAAAACAGAUGUGUGUGCAAAGCUUGAAGCAACCAUGAAACAUGAACUUGAUAGAGUCCGAAAACCCAUGGAAGAGGCUUAUGAGGCUUUUGAAAAAUGCCUUGUUGAGGGGGUUGAAAAAUCAAAAAGGUCAUGUGAAGGAAACUUGAAGUCCAUCUUACAUCCUAAAAACAAAUCAAAUGCAGCUUUUCACAGGACACUGAGGUGUAUAGUUGAGAAAAAAGGCACCCACAAACCAAAAAAAGGGAAGCAAAUAAAUAUCAACAUGAAGUUAAGUUCACGCCUGACUAACAGCAUUGAUGAAAACUUCAGGAGGACCUUCCCAAAUGUCGCAAAAUGUGGACCAUUCAACGGAGUUAUCACAACAUUUUCACUUGACACACAGAAGUUGAUUCCAAAGUACAAAGAUGUCGAACUGCAACUGAUUUUUCUUCAGACAGAGGAGGAAAAAAUUAAGACAAGAGUCAACAAAAUUAUCCAGGAAAGUAAGAAAACAAUCUACAACAGUCUGACGGAGACAAUCGAGAAAGAAAUGCAAGACUGCUACAAAAAAGCAGCAAAAUUUACAGGACAGGACACGCUGAAAAACAUGAGGGACACUAUUGAGAAGCAUGUACAUGACUCAAAGGACACUAUGUUUGACAUGGCCAAAAAUGAGAUGUUGAGACAACUGGAUGAAUUAAAGACGUUCAUCCUGGAGGAACUGGAGAGAACUCUGAAGGGAUCAAUUGAGCUGUCACUCAAAACAGAUGAUCACUCAAUCCCAGGUUUCCAAUUUAUUUUACCUUUUAAAAGAUUUUUCAUUAGAGCUUGGCAUGGUGAAGAGAUAUUAUGAUGAACUGAAGUCCUGCAUGGAUGAAGAAAUGUCAUCAGUAAGCAGCUGCACUGAGUCCAUGACAUGGGAACAGGUGUUUUAGAUUUGCUCAGUGGAAAGAAACAGCAGAGGCCUGAUCACCUACUGAAUGUCCCCGCAGACAUGAGGUCUCUGGAUUUGUGCGCAGCUAUUUUUAUCAAGUUAUUAUCUUUGUUCUCUUUGAGUGGUGGUUUGUUAUGUACUUUGACUUUGUUUUUUUGUGAAUUAAUGUAGAGAGAUUUUAGAUUUUUUUGGUCUGAUAUUAUUGACAUUAACUGAUGAUAGAACAGAGGCAGGUGGCUGACAUGUGAAGGUCUACAUGGUACUGGUCUCUGCCAAUGCCCCAGAGGCUUUGUGUUUUUAAUGAUUUAAUAGUUUUUUUUUUCUGUCCAUGACUUUAUUUUGUGACUCAAGUGUUUGAUGAUUGGGAUAGGAGUACCACUGAUUAUAUGGCUGUUUAAAUGAAACCUUGAACCUUGAAUAAAUGAUUUGAUUGUGGGUUGGAUUUCUCAA